UACGGGGGGGGUAAGCGUUGUUCGGAAUUACUGGGCGUAAAGGGCUCGUAGGCGGCCAACUAAGUCGGACGUGAAAUCCCUCAGCUUAACUGGGGAACUGCGUCCGAUACUGGAUGGCUUGGAUUUGGGAGAGGGAUGCGGAAUUCCAGGUGUAGCGGUGAAAUGCGUAGAUAUCUGGAGGAACACCGGUGGCGAAGGCGGCAUCCUGGACCAGUAUUGACGCUGAGGAGCGAAAGCCAGGGGAGCAAACGGG
rnacentral:rRNA from 1 species